CCUACGGGUGGCAGCAGUGGGGAAUAUUGCACAAUGGGGGAAACCCUGAUGCAGCGACGCCGCGUGAGUGAAGAAGUAUUUCGGUAUGUAACGCUCUAUCAGCAGGGAAGAAAAUGACGGUACCUGAUUAAGAAGCCCCGGCUAACUACGUGCCAGCAGCCGCGGCAAUACGGAGGGGGCAAGCGUUAUCCGGAUUUACCGGGUGUAAGGGGAGCGUAGACGGCAGCACACGUCUGGGGUGAAAUGCCGGGGCUGAACCCCGGAACCGCUUGGGAAACUGUGCAGCUAGAGUGCGGGAGAGGGAGGUGGAAUGCGUAGUGUAGCGGUGAAAUGCGUAGAUAUUAGGAGGAA
rnacentral:rRNA from 1 species